AGCUAUCAACUAUCUAAUAAUAGCUUUUGAAGUUUUCAAAUUUGGGCUGGAUGGUAUGAAGAGCCAAGAAAGUCUUUACUUCUGCAUUGAGCUUCGCUUAUACAUGAAGAUAAGAAGAUAUCUAGGAGUGUGAAAGCCAUGUUAGUGAAGCAGUAUGAAAUGGUAGAAAGAAGAUAACUGGAACAAAUAUUAGGAGACUAGGACCCAUCAUGGCUGUACAACUUUGGG